rnacentral:rRNA from 1 species
UACGUAGGAGGCAAGCGUUGUCCGGAAUUACUGGGCGUAAAGCGCGUGUAGGUGGUGGGACAAGUCUGCUGUGAAAGCGCCUGGCUUAACCGGGCGAGGUCGGCGGAAACUGUUCGACUCGAGGACGGUAGAGGGGGGUGGAAUUCCCGGUGUAGUGGUGAAAUGCGUAGAGAUCGGGAGGAACACCUGUGGCGAAGGCGGCCCCCUGGGCCGGCCCUGACACUGAGACGCGAAGGCGUGGGGAGCGAACAGG